rnacentral:rRNA from 1 species
GACGAACGCUGGCGGCGUGCCUAAUACAUGCAAGUUGAGCGCUGAAGGUUGGUACUUGUACCGACUGGAUGAGCAGCGAACGGGUGAGUAACGCGUGGGGAAUCUGCCUUUGAGCGGGGGACAACAUUUGGAAACGAAUGCUAAUACCGCAUAAAAACUUUAAACACAAGUUUUAAGUUUGAAAGAUGCAAUUGCAUCACUCAAAGAUGAUCCCGCGUUGUAUUAGCUAGUUGGUGAGGUAAAGGCUCACCAAGGCGAUGAUACAUAGCCGACCUGAGAGGGUGAUCGGCCACAUUGGGACUGAGACACGGCCCAAACUCCUACGGGAGGCAGCAGUAGGGAAUCUUCGGCAAUGGACGAAAGUCUGACCGAGCAACGCCGCGUGAGUGAAGAAGGUUUUCGGACCGUAAAACUCUGUUGGUAGAGAAGAACGUUGGUGAGAGUGGAAAGCUCAUCAAGUGACGGUAACUACCCAGAAAGGGACGGCUAACUACGU